rnacentral:rRNA from 1 species
AUUGAACGCUGGCGGCAGGCCUAAUACAUGCAAGUCGAGCGGAUGAAGGGAGCUUGCUCCUGGAUUCAGCGGCGGACGGGUGAGUAAUGCCUAGGAAUCUGCCUGGUAGUGGGGGAUAACGUCCGGAAACGGGCGCUAAUACCGCAUACGUCCUGAGGGAGAAAGUGGGGGAUCUUCGGACCUCACGCUAUCAGAUGAGCCUAGGUCGGAUUAGCUAGUUGGUGGGGUAAAGGCCUACCAAGGCGACGAUCCGUAACUGGUCUGAGAGGAUGAUCAGUCACACUGGAACUGAGACACGGUCCAGACUCCUACGGGAGGCAGCAGUGGGGAAUAUUGGACAAUGGGCGAAAGCCUGAUCCAGCCAUGCCGCGUGUGUGAAGAAGGUCUUCGGAUUGUAAAGCACUUUAAGUUGGGAGGAAGGGCAGUAAGUUAAUACCUUGCUGUUUUGACGUUACCAACAGAAUAAGCACUGGCUAACUUCGUG